AGGUGAGCUGGCUGUGACAUCUGUUACCUCAUUCAUCUCCAGGGUCAGUCAGGUGAUCUGGUUGGCUAGAUGGAUGUCCCCUUCCUCCCUUGCGUCCUUCCUGAAGCCGUGCACUUGAUGGAAGAAAACUAUCAUCCUUGUGGAGAGGACCAUUUCCUCAGCUCCAAACAAGCUUCCAAAUUAACUGAGGUUGGUGGAUCUUGAGA
ensembl:misc_RNA 7SK 7SK RNA